rnacentral:rRNA from 1 species
GACGAACGCUGGCGGCGUGCUUAACACAUGCAAGUCGAACGGAAAGGCCCUGCUUUUGUGGGGUGCUCGAGUGGCGAACGGGUGAGUAACACGUGAGUAACCUGCCCUUGACUUUGGGAUAACUUCAGGAAACUGGGGCUAAUACCGGAUAGGAGCUCCUGCUGCAUGGUGGGGGUUGGAAAGUUUCGGCGGUUGGGGAUGGACUCGCGGCUUAUCAGCUUGUUGGUGGGGUAGUGGCUUACCAAGGUGUUGACGGGUAGCCGGCCUGAGAGGGUGACCGGCCACAUUGGGACUGAGAUACGGCCCAGACUCCUACGGGAGGCAGCAGUGGGGAAUAUUGCACAAUGGGCGGAAGCCUGAUGCAGCAACGCCGCGUGCGGGAUGACGGCCUUCGGGUUGUAAACCGCUUUCGCCUGUGACGAAGCGUGAGUGACGGUAAUGGGUAAAGAAGCACCGGCUAACUACGUG